AAACACAAACAAGCUGAAGGUAGAUAAAUUUCACAAGAACUCAAUGAAGAAGUUUCUCCAAGUAGGGGUAGAGUGAGGCUCUCAGCGAUUAGCAGGCAGUGUCCUGACCAGACCUGAGGGGCUGGAUAAGAGCCAGAGGUUGAAAGAAAGCCCUAAUACUAGGAGCAGAUCGGGCACAGUUGGAGCAAGAAGGAGUGCUCCCCGCCCAAGCCAAGCAUGGUAGCACAUACCUGUAGUCAUAGAACUUAGAAGAUAGACACAAGAAGAUACAGAAUUUGAGGUCUUCAUGAACUACCUAGUAAGUUCUAGACUAGUCUGGCCAAAAAAAAGUGUCCCAGCCUCUCAACUUGCCCUGUGAUGCCCUGACACUGUCUCCACUUGGACAAACUCAACAUGAAGGCAAGGGUAUGUAUUCCACAGGGACCAGCAUCCACAUGGAGAACAGGGUCAAGCAUGGCCCUGGAGCAUCAUGCUCUCCCAGGUCACUCUAGCAUCACAGUGCAAAGAAGCAAUCGCCUGCCGUGGGAGGAGACCACUGAGGAAGACAACAGGAUUCAGCCUCAGUCUAGUGGCCACAUUUUACCUUGGAUCUCACAUUCCAGUAUGUCAGAGUGCUAGAGGGACCUGAAGCAACCACACUUCUCUUAUCAACUUUUUCCUGCCUACCAAAAGUGGCCCAUGAAGCUUCCACUACUAGCCCCUUGGAAUCAGGACAUUGAAUGAAUUGAUAUUGGUUGAGCACCUAUGAUACCCAGUACCAAUCUACAGCACACCCAAUGUAGCUUGACAGUUAAAUACACCUGCUUGGAGAUUAAAAGUGAGGCUCAAUGGUAGAUCACUUGCAUGGCAGGUACAAAGCCCGGACUCCAUCCUAAACCUAGAAAAUGAAAAAAAAUUUUUUUUCAACUCAGUUUGGAAGCAGGCCAAUGGGGAGGGCUCAGCACAGGACAUUUCCAUCAUCUCCCGGGGAAGGUGUGGCAGAUGGAAAAAAGGGAUCACCAGAGGUUAAGGGGUUUCCCAGGGACUCUCCUAGUGAUGACUUUUGAACCCAACCUAAAGUCAGUAACAGCCCACUGCACACCAUAGGGCACCUUUCCCAUCAGAAGCUGCCAUUGUUUUGAAGAGGCAUAGACAAACGCAUCCUAUAGUCUUAUAUUUCUGGUGAUUAUUGCUUCUUUAUUGUGGACAGAUGUGCCUGGUGGCCUCCUUGGCUGGCAGUUACAGGAAUCAUCCAGAGAGAAGGAAGAUGGCAGAAACCGGAAGUGCAAUAUCGACACAAGGGGACCGGGCUGAAUUCAUCUUGUCCUUUUAUUGAAACUAACAGUGGCAGGGACUUGAGUGGUGGCCUCAGGAACCCCAACACUUUCCAUAAGAUAGCUACCCCUCAUAUCCUGGCCUCCAGAGCUGAAAGAUGACCCUGUCUCACCUACAAGACCUUGGGACACUGUCUCUGCGCUCAGAAAUCUGGGCUCUGGGAAGUCAAUGCUGAGAUGUUAGAAAUGAGCUUUGAUGCAAACUAGACUGGUCUUUGAUUCCUGAAGAGAACCUUUUCUAUGUGACAGUGAGAACUCAAUCUUCCAGGUCUCAGUUUCCACAUCUGUGAACUCCUGACAUCGGGUGCACCGAGGUCAUGUGUUUGAGCGGGGAAGGGAAGGGAACACAGCACCGAGGGAUCCAAAGCUGUGGUCUCCUGCCAGCCUGGGCUAGGGAUAGCUGAGCACACCGAGUUCUUUAGACAGACUCAAGGCUGGCUCCUGUCUGUGGCCUCGCAGCUCCCCGGCGCCCUCUGGCCAGGGUUUCCUGUCGUCCUCCUUUCCUCCUUUCAGAAGAGGAAGCGGCUUCCUCUGGAGACCUUUGUCCUGAGCCCAGCCCUGGAAUGCUGAAGGCCAUUCACUCCUUGCUGAGUACAGUGUUGAACCACUUUCUGGGUUUAAGAAAAUAUAUUAUUGUUUACCUAACAGUU
ensembl:lincRNA Gm11497 predicted gene 11497